UACGGGGGGGGGCAAGCGUUGUUCGGAAUUACUGGGCGUAAAGGGCUCGUAGGUGGCCAACUAAGUCGGACGUGAAAUCCCUCGGCUUAACCGGGGAACUGCGUCUGAUACUGGAUGGCUUGAGUUCGGGAGAGGGAUGCGGAAUUCCAGGUGUAGCGGUGAAAUGCGUAGAUAUCUGGAGGAACACCGGUGGCGAAGGCGGCAUCCUGGACCGACACUGACGCUGAGGAGCGAAAGCCAGGGGAGCAAACGGG
rnacentral:rRNA from 1 species